GAUGAACGCUGGCGGUAUGCCUAACACAUGCAAGUCGAACGAACUAUUUAUAGUGAGUGGCGGACGGGUGAGUAACGCGUGAGAAUCUGCCUCUAGGAUGGGGACAACAGUUGGAAACGACUGCUAAUACCCAAUGUGCCGCAAGGUGAAAUUUUUAGCCUGGAGAGGAGCUCGCGUCCGAUUAGUUAGUUGGUGGGGUAAGAGCCUACCAAGGCAGCGAUCGGUAGCUGGUCUGAGAGGAUGAGCAGCCACACUGGGACUGAGACACGGCCCAGACUCCUACGGGAGGCAGCAGUGGGAAUUUUCCGCAAUGGGCGAAAGCCUGACGGAGCAAUACCGCGUGAGGGAGGAAGGCUUUUUGGGUUGUAAACCUCUUUAAUAAGGAAGAAGAAAGUGACGGUACUUAUUGAAUAAGCAUCGGCUAA
rnacentral:rRNA from 1 species